UACGUAGGGUGCGAGCGUUGUCCGGAUUUAUUGGGCGUAAAGAGCUCGUAGGCGGUCUGUCGCGUCGGAUGUGAAAACCCAGGGCUCAACCCUGGGCCUGCAUUCGAUACGGGCAGACUAGAGUACGGCAGGGGAGACUGGAAUUCCUGUGUGGCGGUGAAAUGCGCAGAUAUCAGGAGGAACACCGGUGGCGAAGGCGGGUCUCUGGCCGAAACUGACGCUGAGGAGCGAAAGCGUGGGGAGCAACAGG
rnacentral:rRNA from 1 species